rnacentral:lncRNA from 1 species
UGCCACCUACAUUUUUGAAGAACUCAAGAACAUAAGAGAGAGGGUGGCCGGCGCGGCGGUGCCACUCGUUUUCCGACGCCUGGACUGCUUCAGUCUUAUAAUCGGAGAUGGGAGAAUCCGAUGGUGAUGCCGAUUUAGCCAACAGGUCAGCGGUGGCGGUGACGAGUUGAAGAUUCAAAGUUCCGGUGAAGUUCGGCUGGUCUCUGACGGUAGUGUUAUAUUUCAUCAAGCUUCUGCCUGUGUAUUUGUUUGGUUCGCUACUCUUUUUGUUUUUUCGUUUAUACACGAAGGAUCUGAUGUUUCCAUCUGGAUCUUUAAUUUUUUUUCUCAUAUAAGAUUUGAAUGUUUCAUGAGAUUUGAUACAACACUUAGCUUGGGAUUUCUUUUUAGACUCUUUUUUAGUAUCUGAUGUUUAUGCUAAGGGGGUGGGUGAAUUUUGGUUAUGAUUUGAAAAGAACUAUCAUGUGUAUGGCUAAUAUAAGGGCUGUGUAGAACUAUUGACCUUGAUACUUUGCUUCACAACUAACAGUAGAGAAUGAUACAAGUUUUCAAGCGGUGGUGGCAUGGUGGUGGUGGUUGGAUGUUCUUUAUUAUUUAUACAAUUUGAAAAUGAUUAUGAAUUGCUACAACUUACUCUGUGUUAUCUUGUUAGAAUUAGUUUUAUGGAUUCACUAAACAACAUUUGAACUUGAGGUGAUGGUGGUUGGAACCUUGGUUUUAAAAUGAGCGCAUGUAGCUUGUUUCUAACAUCUAAGCCUGAAUAAUUUGAUGUCAUGGUCAGUAAUUCUUCACCAAUCACUAUAUUGUUUUUUUUAACUCUCGUGCUAUAUGAAUCUAUUUGGGUUGUGUGUUUUUUUUUAAACUGUCAAACAGGCUAAACAGGCUGAAAGCUGUUCAAAGUUUUUUUUAAUGCUCACACACAACCUUCUAAUAAGUUUGUUCAAAUAUUUGGACUAUUACUGUCAUGAAAUUGUUUUUUUCUAACUUGUGUGCUAUAUCUAUCUAUAACUGAAUCGGUUUGGGCUAUGUGUUUUAUCACAAACGGGUUAAAUCGAAAGUUUUAAAUGGGUCAAAUAGGCUGAAACUGUCCAAAGUUUUUUUUUUGAUGCACUCAACCUCCUAGCAGUUUUGUUGAAACAUUUAGAUUAUUUCUUAAUAUUGUUUUUGCAUUUGUGACUCCUAAUCUUUAUGGAAACCUGAUGGCAAAUAUUGUUGCUGGUAUUGCUGGGGGCACUAGUGUCAUGCCUGGAGGUAAUGUCAGGGCUGCUAAUGCAUAAUUCGAGCAAGGUGCAUCAAUUGAAAAUGUUGGAAAACAAAAAUUUGCAGAGAGAAAGAUUGCUAAUCUAGUUGCAUUGUCAUCAGCCACACGAAAGAGUUUAUCGACUCUAUACAACAUGAUUUGGUUAACCGAGUGACUUUUCGUAAAUAUUCAUAAACUUUGUUUAUUGCAUUAAAUUACAUAUAUUUGAAAUCUAACUUUUGUUUUUAUUUGGUUUUAGUUUUGGAACGAAGAAGGCUAUUUUGAAGAAUCUCAAAUUGAGAAUUUAGUGGUAGAUUUAAUGUUGGGAUUUAUUAAAAAGAUGUUUUGAUCUUGUAAGCAUUAGUUUGUGUUUCAUACUUUUGUAAUUCAGUAUACUUGAAUAGGUUGUUGGGUUAUUUAAUACUAGUUAACUUUUGUCGUGAGUAUGUGCAGUUGUGUGUAAUUGGAAUUAUAUUGGGAAAUAUUACU